UAUCAUUAUCACUGGUGUAAUGUUCAUGUUCUCGAACAUUUCUGUCCCGCUGAAGAGAAGAGAUCGACGGUGAAUCGUUGACGGAAUCAUAUGCGCUGUUGGAGACGAAGUCGGCAGAAGAAAAGAAAUAGGACGAAUUCUUACUGAAGAUGUAAUAUCUCUUCGAAUUGUGCUGACUGGUGAUGAAACUACUGCAGGAGAUUCUGCACAUCAUGAGUAGGUCGUUAUCUCAUACUUACAGUCAACCUUGGACAUACUUCCUGCAGGCAACUGCCAAGGUUCCUAAAGCUCAGAUAAUAACUGAGCAUCCUGCAGUUAGGGGUUGGAGUGGUUUUAUGUGAUUGACAAUCUCGUGGAGGACAUGAAGUUAUUUGGGGUGUUAUUGAAGCUCUAAAUUCUUGCGAUGCUGAAAGUAAUUUGCUUUGAUUUUUGGAUUAACAUGCCUAUGUUUUGUGUUCCUAGGUGCUUCUGAUGUUUUAAUUGCUCAGGAAACUCUUAAGAGAUUACUGAUGGGAUUCUUGCCAAAUACACAAAUCAAGGUGGUUAUGAUUUCCUGGCUGAACAAAAGAUCAAAUUAGAACUGAACAGUGUUCUUCUGCGUGCUGGCGCCCGCGAAGCCACAUUUAUUCAAGACUGAGGCAUCAUUGAAAGGCAAUCGAAGCUCUGGAAAGAAAAGAAGAUAAUAUUGUGGUGCGGUGCACAGUUUUAUUUCCCAUCCCCUACACGUGCAUGAGGCUGCAACCAGGUAAGUGAUUGAUCGAGUGUGGUAAGUAUCGUAGGCCCUAUGAUGUGGUAUUUGGGUUUCGAUUCUUACUUUGUUGCAAUAAAGUUUGAAUUAAGAGUAUUUAAUGUGCUAUGAAAACAGCACGAGUGUGGAGAUCCAUCAUUAACUCAGCGUAUUAGAUGAGUAAUAUUAACAUUCCUCUUUGUGGUAUAGGUUUUACUCAAACAAUGUGUGUUUUGCAGGUGAUUUUAUUGCAUCACUUUCACUUUAUAUGGCACUUCAUGGAUGAAUGCAUUAUAUGCUUGCCUGUCUGUAUGCUUUCUGAUUAAAUUAGCACUCCAAAAGUAUAUACAACUCUAAUUCAAUAAAUUUCAAAAUUAACAGUGCUUUGUUCUAAUUUGUUUUAUGUAUAAUUAAAUUGUUAUGUAGUUAAAUUUUUACAUCUACGUAAAAUAUUACAUUCCCAAAUUUUUUUCCACGUAAUACGCUGAGCCAGAGGAGGCCCACUCAACUGUGAAAAAGUUAGCUCAACCGAGUACUGUUCUCCCAUGGGCUUUCGCCCAGAACAAACUGGGCCUGUCAAGCAUAGCCUACAUUAUGCUGGGGCUGCCAAACGUAGGCUCGGAGAAUUCUUGUACUGGGCCAAAACGAUGGGCCUUCGCAGAAAGCAUCAAGGGCUUACAAAAACUGGGUACAAUAUCUUGGCCCUACAACAUUUCAUUGGACCUGCUUGAACUCAGGAAAAAGCAUUAUGGGUCACAGGCAAGGAGCCGACAGAACCAUGGGCCUGGCCCGACAUGUUGUUGCGAACCUAAAAUUGGGCCGACAGAGUUCUGUGAUUGUCUGCGCUAAGCCGACAACAAUAAUGGGGGGGCCGACAUGUUGCGGAAUAGGUAGCAUAGAUAUGUACAAGAAUUUCUAGCUGUCGGAAAUACCCAGACAUUUUUCUGAUUUGGGCCAUAAAUUUCGUGGGCUAGUAGGCAAUAUAUAGACAAUGUUUAUGGGCCUGUAGCGAUACUUCUUGGGCUUAUGCUGCCAUUUUCAGGCCCAAUCAUUGUCUCUUUUAAUUAUUUUGGGCCUUUACUAGAGUUAACUGGCCCAAUAAGCUUGCGCCGCCACCGCCUUGUAUUGCCGGCAAUAAGCCGACAAUAUUUUUUGCGGUCGGCAAAUAUAUAGACAAAAACUAACGGGCCUGCGCCGUUAUUUUUUUGUGCCUUGCGCCGCCGUUUGCAAUAAACCGACAACAUUGCGGCUUAUGCCGACAU